AUUGAACGCUGGCGGCGUGCUUUACACAUGCAAGUCGCACGAGUGGCGAACGGGUGAGUAACGCAUCGGAACGUACCGGGUAAUGGGGGAUAACUAUCCGAAAGGACAGCUAAUACCGCAUAUUAUUCGAGCGGCCGAUGGCUGAUUAGCUGGUUGGCGGGGUAAAGGCCCACCAAGGCGACGAUCAGUAGCGGGUCUGAGAGGAUGAUCCGCCACACUGGGACUGAGACACGGCCCAGACUCCGACGGAAGGCAGCAGGGGGGAAUUGUGGACAAUGGGCGCAAGCCUGAUGCAGCCAUGCCGCGUGUCUGAAGAAGGCCUUCGGGUUGUAAAGGACUUUUGUCAGGGAAGCGGUACCUGAAGAAGAAGCACCGGCUAACUACGUGCCAGCCGCCGCGGUAAUAC
rnacentral:rRNA from 1 species